CACAAAUCUCUUCCUCACCAAUCUCUCUCAUUCCCAACUUUUCCCUUUUCUUUUUCUUUUGCAUUGAGCUCUUCUUCAUGCUUUUCUUCUUUUCUUUUCUUUUUCUCAUGAAUUUUUCUUUUCACAACAUUUGAGCUCAAUGCUUUUCACUUGCUUUUUCAACUUUCCCCCAACAACUCCAAACUUGAACCUUUUUCAUCACAUACAACUAAGCUCAUCCCAACUCAAGGUAAAGAAUUUCAAAACAAGGGUUCACAUACUGUUUAAGGCUAAGGUUCAAAAAGGGUAAAAUAUUUUUAAGCAUUUUGGGUGAAAAUUUGGCUAGAGAAGGGUUUUCAAAAAAUGGCCUUGAUCAUAUGACAUUCACAUGCAAUUCA
rnacentral:lncRNA from 1 species